rnacentral:misc_RNA from 1 species
GUGGGAGGGGGCUUGCCCCCGAUGGCAGUGUGUCAGUUGAUGAAUAUAGGUCUGACACUCCGCUAUCGGGGGCAAGCCCCCUCCCAC